ensembl:snoRNA
CUAGCCCUGAAUCAAGGCCGGCAGCUUCCUGAUGAUGUUGGUUUCAAGCAGGAGCCUAAAUAGAUGUCUUUAUAUGGUCUGUUGGCCAUUUCAGAACUUGGCAAUGAAAUGGUCAAUUCAUUAGAAAGAAACAGCU